rnacentral:rRNA from 1 species
UACGAAGGGUGCAAGCGUUACUCGGAAUUACUGGGCGUAAAGCGUGCGUAGGUGGUCUGCUAAGUCUGAUGUGAAAGCCCUGGGCUCAACCUGGGAAUGGCAUUGGAAACUGGCGGGCUAGAGUGCGGUAGAGGGUAGUGGAAUUCCCGGUGUAGCAGUGAAAUGCGUAGAGAUCGGGAGGAACAUUCGUGGCGAAGGCGGCUACCUGGACCAGCACUGACACUGAGGCACGAAAGCGUGGGGAG